AACAGAUCUUGGCUCUUCAAACAUAUCUUAAACUCUUAAACAUUGCAGUCAGAAUGAUCUGUCUAAAUAGAUCUGGUCAUGCACCUUCCCUAUUUAAAACUCUUCAAUGGCUCUCUAGUGCUGCAAAAAACAUGUAAAAGGCACCGGAAGACGCCCCAGCCAGCCUCUGGCCUCACCAAUCCUCAUUAUUUUUCUAUCCACGAACACUAGAUAAUUCUGGU
rnacentral:lncRNA from 1 species